rnacentral:rRNA from 1 species
AAUAAACGCUGGCGGCGUGCCUAACACAUGCAAGUCGAGCGAGAAAGUUCCUUCGGGAAUGAGUACAGCGGCGGACGGGUGAGCAACGCGUGAGAAUCUGCCCUUCAGUGAAGAAUACCGUCGAGAAAUCGACGUUAAUGCUGCAUACGUCCCUUCGGGGAGAAAAGUGGCCUCUUUGCUACUGCUGGAGGAUGAGCUUGCGUACUAUUAGCUAGUUGGUGGGUAAAGGCCUACCAAGGCGAUGAUGGUUAACCGGCCUGAGAGGGUGUUCGGUCACACUGGAACUGAGAUACGGUCCAGACUCCUACGGGUGGCUG